UCUAUUAAAUUUCGAGGUUAUAAACUAAAUGAGGUUAUAUUUCAUUGUACUUCAAAUAUCGUCGGAAAUCGCCGUUGGCGCCACUAGAUCAGAUGUGGUGAAGCAGUUCAUGUCAAUAUCAACAUGACAUUUUUAUUUUUAUAAUACUGUGCAAAUAUCUUACAAUAUCUGAAAAAUGUUAUAAUUUAUAACAUAUUCUGACGUGCCUUCUACCAUUAGAGUCAUGUGUCUCAACGUAGAAAUAAUACUUCCAACAGUGAAGAAAUUUUUACUACUUUAUCCCUUAAAAACUGGAUGCAUACUUACCUACUUUUGGACAAUGGUUCGCUCUUUUUUCUGCGUGCUUUUCUUCCUGGUUGCAUUACUAGAAUUGGUCGUGGGGAAACCAUUUCCAAUUAAGCCUAUAUUUGUUGACAUAGAAAUUACUGCCUAUUACACAAUGUACUUUUCUUUCGUUAUUUUGUUGCUUACCGAAUUCUUAUUGAUGGUUUUUACUAUACAUUUGGGCAUAGGAUCUUUUACCGGUGACUUGUGUUGUUUAAAGCAAUAUUUAAUAUGCCGUAUUAUAACUUGGGGAUUCGAAGUUGCAUUCUUACCUGUUGUAUGCUUCUCGAAUAAACCUCUCAUUGGCUGGUAUUUAGGAAUGAUGUUUUUCGUUGUCUUAGAGUUGUACUCAUUUAUUAUAGUCUAUAGUUAUUAUUAUACUUUAGCUGAAGAAAAGGAAUUCGAGGAGGGCUCCGACAAAACACGUGAUUGAGGGUCGUAACAGUCAAUUGAUAAAAAUAUCCUACGAAAAAUAUGUUCGAGGCUUAUCAUAUCCUGAUAACGAUACCUUGAUAAUGCACACAAAUAGGUUAUGUGAACUAUGCUCGACGAGUCAUAGACGUCCGCUAAUAUUGUAAAAUGGGGUUUAUGUUGCCGACUUUUAAGAAAUGUUUGUGUUGUGUGUCGCUGAGGACGGGGUCGUUUUUGAUUGGUUAUGUUUCAGCUAUAUUUUCCACAUUGGCUUUAUCCCUAAUUUCUUUAUCACUAUACAAAGUUGUAUAUUACGUUGAUCAUACGAUAAAUGAUACAAUUACCGAGACGAAGGUAGAGAAUCCAGAAGAUGUCCAUGAAGUGGCUACCAGUUUAUAUAUUGCCCAUGCUUAUCUUAUAAUUGUGUUUUUAUACAAUUUAUUAAUAAGUGUAUUACUUAUCGCUGGUCUGCAUAAGGCAAAUACAAAAUAUAUGAGAGACUACUUCAAAGCUGGGCUAUUUCUUCUUCUAUUGGCGCUCGCAACCGUUGUCUUGUCCACGGUGUUCUUGCACUUUAUUGUCACAGUUGCAUUAUUAAAAUGGAGUGUUAUAGUUCUCUACUGCCUCAUAAUGGUCCGGAGUCAUUAUCUAGAACUUGAAGAAGCAAAUAAACCACCAGUGAUCGAAAUGGAAAGUCUCUACAAUCCACCGAGAGCUUCUCAUUUGUAUGCGUGAAGAACUUUAGCACAUAAUAACGAAUUAACAACAUUAGUUCGAUUUACGAUAAUAGUAUUUGGUCACAUAUGAAGUAAUGCCUUGUCGGCAUGCAACCACGAAAUCGAAUUUUAUUAGUUGUAGUAUUUGUACUAAGAGAUAAAUUCAAUAUUUUUGCAGUUCCACAUAGGAACGAACGUAUUAAUUGAAGUACACAUGCAUCUAAUAAAAUUAUGGAAAACCUUUUAAUACCAAGUGAAUUUUUACUAUUCAUUUUACAUUUUUGUAUUGGGUAGCCAUGACUAGAUGAGAUAUUAUUGUAACUUUUACAUCCUUCUUUAGAAAGUCUUGUGUGUUUUACAUAUUUUGUAAUUUUGUUCAACA